rnacentral:rRNA from 1 species
GACGAACCUUGCUAACGUUAUUCGGAAUUACUGGGCUUAAAGGGUGCGUAGGCGGUGUGGAAAGUCGGGUGUGAAAUCCCCCAGCUCAACUGGGGAAUUGCAUUCGAGACUGAAUAGCUAGGGUACGGUAGAGGGAAGUGGAAUUUCCGGUGUAGCGGUGAAAUGCGUAGAUAUCGGAAGGAACAUCAGUGGCGAAAGCGACUUCCUGGACCAGUACCGACGUUCAGGCACGAAAGCGUGGGGAGCAAACAGG